AACGAACGCUGGCGGCAUGCCUAACACUUGCAAGUCGAACGAGAUCUUCGGGUCUAGUGGCGCACGGGUGCGUAACGCGUGGGAAUCUGCCCUUUGGUUCGGAAUAACAGUUGGAAACGACCGCUAAUACCGGAUGAUGACGAAAGUCCAAAGAUUUAUCGCCAGAGGAUGAGCCCGCGUAGGAUUAGCUAGUUGGUGUGGUAAAGGCUCACCAAGGCGACGAUCCUUAGCUGGUCUGAGAGGAUGAUCAGCCUCACUGGGACUGAGACACGGCCCAGACUCCUACGGGAGGCAGCAGUGGGGAAUAUUGGACAAUGGGCGAAAGCCUGAUCCAGCAAUGCCGCGUGAGUGAUGAAGGCCUUAGGGUUGUAAAACUCUGUCCUAUGGGAAGAAACAAAUGACGGUACCAUGGGAGGAAGCCCCGGCUAACUACGUGCCAGCCGCCGCGGUAA
rnacentral:rRNA from 1 species